UAGCUACUCCAACUCCAAGCUCAUUACUGUGUCUCGCUUGCUCUCGUCGACAAGGAGAAGAUGGUGUCCAACCACGACGACGGCAAGCCACCGGCGAAGUGGAAGAAGGUGUGCGUCGUCGGGGCGGGCAUGGCCGGCCUUGCGGCGGCGCGGGAGCUGCGCCGGGAGGGCCACGCCGUGACGGUGCUUGAGCAGGCCGGCGACGUGGGCGGGCAGUGGCUGUACGACCCGCGCACCGACGACCCGCUCGGCGCGUCCCCGGCGCCGGUGCGCGUGCACAGCAGCAUGUACGCGUCGCUCCGCCUCAUCAGCCCCCGCGAGGCCAUGGGCUUCACCGACUUCCCCUUCCUCCCCGUCGACGGCGCCGGCGGCGGCGGCCGCGACCCGCGCCGCUUCCCCGGCCACCGCGAGGUGCUCCUCUACCUCAAGGACUUCUGCGACGCGUUCGGCCUCAUGGACGCCGUCCGCCUCAGCCUCAACACCAGGGUCCUCCGCGUCGCCAUGGCGCCUCCUCAAUGUCGCGCCCCCGCCGUCGCCGGCGGCGAGCGGAAAUGGGUGGUCAGGUCCGUACGCGUCGGCGAGCGCGACGACACGGGUGUUCAGGAAGAGGUGUUCGACGCCGUCGUGGUCGCCACCGGGCACUACUCGCAGCCCAGCGUGCCAACCAUCAAAGGAAUGGAGGCGUGGAGGCGGCGGCAGCUGCACAGCCACUCGUACCGGCUGCCGGAGCCGUUCCGCGACGAGGUGGUUGUCAUGGUGGGCUGCGGCGACAGCGGCAAGGACAUCGCGCUGGACCUCAUCAGCGUCGCCAAGGAGGUGCACCUCACGGACAAGUCGACGGAGGAGGCCACGACGCCGGCGAUGUCCAAGCUGCUCGCCAAGUACGCCAACCUCCACCUGAGGCCACGGGUCGAACACCUGUGCGAGGACGGGACGGUGGUGUUCGUCGACGGCUCGCGCGUCGUCGCCGACACCGUCAUGUACUGCACCGGGUACGUCUACUCGUUCCCGUUCCUGGACACGGACGGGGUGGUCACCGUCGACGACAACCGCGUCGGGCCGCUGUUCGAGCACGUGUUCCCGCCGGCGCUGGCGCCGUCGCUGUCGUUCGUCGGCGUCCCGAGGAAGGUGCCGGCGCCAUGGUUCUUCGAGGCGCAGGGGAAGUGGGUGGCGCAGGUGCUGUCCGGGAGGAGGACGCUGCCGCCGGUGGAGGAGAUGCUGCGCGCCGUCGACGAGCACUACCGCGCCAGGGCGGCCGCCGGCGUGCCGGUCAAGUACACGCACGAGCUCGGCGGCAUCGAGCCUCAGAAGUACAUCGAGUUCGGGGAGAAGUAUUGCGGGUUCCCGCGCUACGAGGAUUGGAAGAGGGAGAUGAUCGUGUCCACCAUCAGUAGGAGGGAUGACGACGACAUGGAGACAUUUCGCGACCGCGUCGACGACGACAGUGACCAUGUCCGGCUCUGCCUCAAGAGCUGGCACUGCUCAUCACCUGCUCGACAUCAAGCCUCUCUUGCUGUUUCUGCUGCUGAUGGCCAUCCUCCUCCUCCUCGUCUUGCACAGACGGCCAAGGCCAUCGCUGCUGAUGCUCUGUAGCUCUCAAGUCUAAACGAUUGGGGUGUAUGGUUUUAAUCCUAAGGUUCUGUGUUCAAUCCUCAACACGCUUACAAUUUCUUUUUAAAAACUCUCCCUCUAAAUCUCCUUUUUUUUAAGUCUAAACUGAACAUGUUCAGGUUCAGGUUCAGGUUCAGGCCAUGGCUGAAUUUGAGUCACCCAGAUGAUAUAAAAUAUCAGGCCAUUAAGUUUUCAGGAAGAACAUUGGCAGAGGAUAUACAAGAAAUUUUGGCAUCCCGUCAGUCAUCACUGCUGAUGAACAAGGCAGCAUUGUAAGGUUUGGUCUCGCUUCUUCUUAAAACGGGGCAUCUUCUUCUUAUAUACAAAACGUCGGCAACGGCCUGACCGUUCGAAAAAAAUGCUCUCUAAAGAUUACUCGGAAGAAGAGGUAGACGACGUCGCGUCCGGCUCCGGCGCGGCGACGACAUGGACGGCGAGGCGGAAGGAGAGGUAGGCGUCGACGCAGGCGUACUGCACCUGCUCCUUGCUCAGCCUGCGCGCGUCCCACCUGCUCGUCCCGACCUUCCUCGGCUUCGUCGUCACCCCGUCCCACCCGAGGUGCUCCUCCGCCAUGCGCUGCAUCGACGUGUUCCCCAUGCCGGCCAGCGACCGCAGCUCCACCGUGCGCGCCACCUCCAGCCCGUGCUGUUCCUCCAGCUUGCGGCAGUCGGACCGCACGCCGUAGCCGACGAACACGACGCGCUCGUCGGCCAGGAACCGCCGGAGCGCGGCGGGGACGGCGGCGUCGGCGUGCGCGAGCUGGAACACCAGGCACCGGUGCCCCGCGCACAGCUGCAGCGUGCCCGGCCGGAUCGUGGCGCGG